rnacentral:rRNA from 1 species
AUUGAACGCUGGCGGCAUGCCUUACACAUGCAAGUCGAACGGUAACAGGUCUUCGGAUGCUGACGAGUGGCGAACGGGUGAGUAAUACAUCGGAACGUGCCCGAUCGUGGGGGAUAACGGAGCGAAAGCUUUGCUAAUACCGCAUACGAUCUACGGAUGAAAGCAGGGGACCGCAAGGCCUUGCGCGAACGGAGCGGCCGGUGGCAGAUUAGGUAGUUGGUGGGAUAAAAGCUUACCAAGACGACGAUCUGUAGCUGGUCUGAGAGGACGACCAGCCACACUGGGACUGAGACACGGCCCAGACUCCUACGGGAGGCAGCAGUGGGGAAUUUUGGACAAUGGGCGCAAGCCUGAUCCAGCAAUGCCGCGUGCAGGAUGAAGGCCUUCGGGUUGUAAACUGCUUUUGUACGGAACGAAAAGGCUCUGGUUAAUACCUGGGGCUCAUGACGGUACCGUAAGAAUAAGCACCGGCUAACUACGUGCCAGCAGCCGCCGCCGUAA